rnacentral:rRNA from 1 species
AUUAAAUAUUUAUAGGAUAGAGAUGGGCUCGCGUGACAUUAGCUAGUUGGUAGGGUAACGGCUUACCAAGGCGACGAUGUCUAGGGGCUCUGAGAGGAGAAUCCCCCACACUGGUACUGAGACACGGACCAGACUCCUACGGGAGGCAGCAGUAAGGAAUAUUGGUCAAUGGGCGGAAGCCUGAACCAGCCAUGCCGCGUGCAGGAUGACUGCCCUAUGGGUUGUAAACUGCUUUUGUCCAGGAAUAAACCUUUCUACGUGUAGGAAGCUGAAUGUACUGGAAGAAUAAGGAUCGGCUAACUCCGUGCCAGCAGCCGCGGUAAUACGGAGGAUCCGAGCGUUAUCCGGAUUUAUUGGGUUUAAAGGGUGCGUAGGCGGCCUAUUAAGUCAGGGGUGAAAUACGGUGGCUCAACCAUCGCAGUGCCUUUGAUACUGAUGGGCUUGAAUCCAUUUGAAGUGGGCGGAAUAAGACAAGUAGCGGUGAAAUGCAUAGAUAUGUCUUAGAACUCCGAUUGCGAAGGCAGCUCACUAAGCUGGUAUUGACGCUGAUGCACGAAAGCGUGGGGAUCGAACAGGAUUAGAUACCCUGGUAGUCCACGCCCUAAACGAUGAUAACUCGAUGUUGGCGAUAGACAGCCAGCGUCCAAGCGAAAGCGUUAAGUUAUCCACCUGGGGAGUACGCCCGCAAGGGUGAAACUCAAAGGAAUUGACGGGGGCCCGCACAAGCGGAGGAGCAUGUGGUUUAAUUCGAUGAUACGCGAGGAACCUUACCCGGGCUUGAAAGUUAGUGAAGAGUGCAGAGACGCACUCGUCCUUCGGGACACGAAACUAGGUGCUGCAUGGCUGUCGUCAGCUCGUGCCGUGAGGUGUUGGGUUAAGUCCCGCAACGAGCGCAACCCCUAUGUUUAGUUGCCAGCAUUUAAGGUGGGGACUCUAAACAGACUGCCUGUGCAAACAGAGAGGAAGGUGGGGACGACGUCAAGUCAUCAUGGCCCUUACGUCCGGGGCUACACACGUGCUACAAUGGAUGGUACAGCGGGCAGCUACAUAGCAAUAUGAUGCUAAUCUCUAAAAGCCAUUCACAGUUCGGAUUGGGGUCUGCAACUCGACCCCAUGAAGUUGGAUUCGCUAGUAAUCGCGUAUCAGCAAUGACGCGGUGAAUACGUUCCCGGGCCUUGUACACACCGCCCGUCAAGCCAUGAAAGUUGGGGGUACCUAAAGCAUGUUACCGC